GACGAACGCUGGCGGCGUGCCUAACACAUGCAAGUCGAACGAGUGGCGGACGGGUGAGUAAUGUCUGGGAAACUGCCUGAUGGAGGGGGAUAACUACUGGAAACGGUAGCUAAUACCGCAUACCAUCAGAUGUGCCCAGAUGGGAUUAGCUAGUUGGUGGGGUAACGGCUCACCAGGGCGACGAUCCCUAGCUGGUCUGAGAGGAUGACCAGCAACAAUGGACCGGACACACGGUCCAGACUCCUACGGGAGGCAGCAGUGGGGAAUUUUGCACAAGGGGCGCAAGCCUGAUGCAGCCAUGCCGCGUGUAUGAAGAGGGCCUUCGGGUUGUAAAGUACUUUCAGCGGGGAGGCGUUACCCGCAGAAGAAGCACCGGCUAACUCCGUGCCAGCAGCCGCGGUAAUUC
rnacentral:rRNA from 1 species